rnacentral:rRNA from 1 species
UACGUAGGUGGCAAGCGAUACUCGGAAUCACUAGGCGUAAAGCGCAGGUAGGCGGUUUGGUAAGUCUUUUGUGAAAGCUCCCGGCUCAACUGGGAGAGGUCAAGGGAAACUACCGGACUAGAGUGUGGUAGGGGAUACUGGAAUUCCUGGUGUAGCGGUGAAAUGCGUAGAUAUCAGGAGGAAUACCUAUGGCGAAAGCAGGUAUCUGGGCCAUCACUGACGCUGAGGCGCGAAAGCGUGGGGAGCAAACAGG